AAUUGAUGGGGAAAUUAAAAUUCAUUGGACGACCUACCGCCGCAUGUUUACCUCAUUUUGUUCAAACAACAACAAAAAAAGUUAUUGAGGAAUUUUUGGAAACUUCUCAAAACAGCAAAGAUUCCUGUUGAAGUAUUCUUAAAAUUAAAGCAAGACCUACCCAGAUGACCAUAGAUGAGAUAUUGAUGACUUAAUAAGGAUAAGCUCGAAUAAUGAUUUGGAGUGCCUUUACUAGCUGAAGACUU